UACACUCCUACGGGAGGCAGCAGUGGGGAAUUUUGGACAAUGGGCGAAAGCCUGAUCCAGCAAUGCCGCGUGAGUGAAGAAGGCCUUCGGGUUGUAAAGCUCUUUUGUCAGGGAAGAAACGGUGAGAGCUAAUAUCUUUUGCUAAUGACGGUACCUGAAGAAUAAGCACCGGCUAACUACGUGCCAGCAGCCGCGGUAAUACGUAGGGUGCAAGCGUUAAUCGGAAUUACUGGGCGUAAAGCGUGCGCAGGCGGUUUUGUAAGUCUGAUGUGAAAUCCCCGGGCUCAACCUGGGAAUUGCAUUGGAGACUGCAAGGCUAGAAUCUGGCAGAGGGGGGUAGAAUUCCACGUGUAGCAGUGAAAUGCGUAGAUAUGUGGAGGAACACCGAUGGCGAAGGCAGCCCCCUGGGUCAAGAUUGACGCUCAUGCACGAAAGCGUGGGGAGCAAACAGGAUUAGAAACCCGAGUAGUCCCAUGA
rnacentral:rRNA from 1 species